rnacentral:tRNA from 1 species
GUAGUUCAGUUGGCAGAGCAGGUGGCCGUUAACCACCGUGUCGCAGGUUCGAGUCCUGCC